rnacentral:rRNA from 1 species
UCCGUAGGUGAACCUGCGGAGGGAUCAUUACAGAGUUCUAAAAGACUCCCAAAACCAUUGUGAACGUACCCGUCAGCGUUGCCUCGGCGGGCGGCCCCUCCCUGGGGCCGCUGCCUCCCUCGGGGGGUGCCCGCCGGCGUACCAAAACUCUUUUGUAUUUUAGUGGCCUCUCUGAGAAAACAAGCAAAUAAGUUAAAACUUUCAACAACGGAUCUCUUGGUUCUGGCAUCGAUGAAGAACGCAGCGAAAUGCGAUAAGUAAUGUGAAUUGCAGAAUUCAGUGAAUCAUCGAAUCUUUGAACGCACAUUGCGCCCGCCAGUACUCUGGCGGGCAUGCCUGUUCGAGCGUCAUUUCAACCCUCAAGCCCUGCUUGGUGUUGGGGUCCUACGGCUGCCGUAGGCCCUGAAAGCUAGUGGCGGGCUCGCUAUAACUCCGAGCGUAGUAGUAAAAUAUCUCGCUAGGGAGGUGUCGCGGGUUCCGGCCGUGAAAGCCCAUCUUUACACAAGGUGACCUCGAUCA